rnacentral:rRNA from 1 species
AUUGAACGCUGGCGGCAGGCCUAACACAUGCAAGUCGAACGGUAACAGAAAGCAGCUUGCUGCUUUGCUGACGAGUGGCGGACGGGUGAGUAAUGUCUGGGAAACUGCCUGAUGGAGGGGGAUAACUACUGGAAACGGUAGCUAAUACCGCAUAACGUCGCAAGACCAAAGAGGGGGACCUUCGGGCCUCUUGCCAUCGGAUGUGCCCAGAUGGGAUUAGCUAGUAGGUGGGGUAAAGGCUCACCUAGGCGACGAUCCCUAGCUGGUCUGAGAGGAUGACCAGCCACCCUGGAACGGAAACACGGCCCAGACCCCUACGGGAGGCAGGAGGGGGAAAUUUUGCACAAUGGGCGCAAGCCUGAUGCAGCCCUGCCGGGUGGGUGAAGAAGGCCUUCGGGUUGUAAAGUACUUUCAGGGGGGAGGAAGGGAGUAAAGUUAAUACCUUUUCUCAUUGACUUUCCCCGAAGAAGAAGCGCCGGCUAACUCCGU